rnacentral:rRNA from 1 species
CAGCCGCGGGAAUACGGAGGGUGCAAGCGUUAUCCGGAUUUAUUGGGUUUAAAGGGUCCGUAGGCGGAUCUGUAAGUCAGUGGUGAAAUCUCACAGCUUAACUGUGAAACUGCCAUUGAUACUGCAGGUCUUGAGUAAAUUUGAAGUGGCUGGAAUAAGUAGUGUAGCGGUGAAAUGCAUAGAUAUUACUUAGAACACCAAUUGCGAAGGCAGGUCACUAAGAUUUAACUGACGCUGAUGGACGAAAGCGUGGGGAGCGAACAGGAUUAGAUACCCCUGUAGUCCCUGUCUCUUAUACACA